GUUACUGCACUAGUCAACUAAAUAAAUUUGAAAAGAAUGUCUCUAAUCCUUUCUCUUUUUUAUAAUAUUGUAGGACAUUAUUUUGAAUUCUCACUUCAUCGGUAUCUACUAGCUGCAACGCGCGGGCCACUACACUAAUUUGUAAUUAUUCUAAAAUUUUUAGGGGUUAAUUCAUCACCGAUCCUCAAAUUUCACCCGUUUUUAAUUGUUCCUGACUAGGAAUGUAAUUUUUCUCGCGAACUCAGGUCCC
rnacentral:lncRNA from 1 species